CCUACGGGAGGCAGCAGUGAGGAAUAUUGGUCAAUGGGCGGGAGCCUGAACCAGCCAAGUCGCGUGAGGGAAGACGGUCUUAUGGAUUGUAAACCUCUUUAGGCGGGGAGCAAUGCCGGGCACGUGUGCCCGGAGGGAGAGUACCCGCCGAAUCAGCAUCGGCUAACUCCGUGCCAGCAGCCGCGGUAAUACGGGGGAUGCGAGCGUUAUCCGGAUUGAUUGGGUUUACAGGGUGCGUAGGCGGAUUGUUAAGUCAGCGGUAAAAUGUCCGGGCUCAACCCGGGCCGGCCGUUGAAACUGGGGAUCUUGAGUGGGCGAGAAGUAUGCGGAAUGCGUGGUGUAGCGGUGAAAUGCAUAGAUAUCACGCAGAACUCCGAUGGCGAAGGCAGCAUACCGGCGCCCGACUGACGCUGAGGCACGAAAGCGUGGGGAUCGAACAGGAUUAGAUACCCGGGUAGUC
rnacentral:rRNA from 1 species